GUGAAGUGAUGAGAAAGUUUAUCCAUUCGCUGAGUUCUGCUGGUGCUCUCUCUUUGCGGCCCUCUUGUCCGUUCUGGACUUGAGGGUUAUGGGCCGCUUGCGCCGCUGCCGCAGGUCCAGUGUUCUACUGGCCCUGUGACCAGAGGUCGUAGGUGUGCCUGCAGGGGGAGUAGCCUGGCCCUCACAAAGACGAUUGUAAGCAGCUGAUUACAC
ensembl:snoRNA